rnacentral:rRNA from 1 species
AACUACUGGAAACGGUAGCUAAUACCGCAUAACGUCUUCGGACCAAAGUGGGGGACCUUCGGGCCUCACACCAUCGGAUGUGCCCAGGUGGGAUUAGCUAGUAGGUGGGGUAAUGGCUCACCUAGGCGACGAUCCCUAGCUGGUCUGAGAGGAUGACCAGCCACACUGGAACUGAGACACGGUCCAGACUCAUACGGGAGGCAGCAGUGGGGAAUAUUGCACAAUGGGCGCAAGCCUGAUGCAGCCAUGCCGCGUGUAUGAAGAAGGCCUUCGGGUUGUAAAGUACUUUCAGUGGGGAGGAAGGCAAUGAGGUUAAUAUCUUCGCUGAUUGACGUUACCCGCAGAAGAAGCACCGGCUAACUCCGUGCCAGCAGCCGCGGUAAUACGGAGGGUGCAAGCGUUAAUCGGAAUUACUGGGCGUAAAGCGCACGCAGGCGGUCUGUCAAGUCGGAUGUGAAAUCCCCGGGCUCAACCUGGGAACUGCAUUCGAAACUGGCAGACUAGA